rnacentral:rRNA from 1 species
AACGCGAAGAACCUUACCUGGCCUUGACAUCCAGAGAACUUAGCAGAGAUGCUUUGGUGCCUUCGGGAACUCUGAGACAGGUGCUGCAUGGCUGUCGUCAGCUCGUGUUGUGAAAUGUUGGGUUAAGUCCCGCAACGAGCGCAACCCUUAUCCUUUGUUGCCAGCGGUUCGGCCGGGAACUCAAAGGAGACUGCCGGUGAUAAACCGGAGGAAGGUGGGGAUGACGUCAAGUCAUCAUGGCCCUUACGGCCAGGGCUACACACGUGCUACAAUGGCGCAUACAAAGAGAAGCGACCUCGCGAGAGCAAGCGGACCUCAUAAAGUAUGUCGUAGUCCGGAUUGGAGUCUCC